UCAUCCCUAGCUGGCCCUACCCAAUGCCAACACACAAUUUCCCAGCACCUAAAUGGGAGAUGAGAGGCAUAAGGACAUUAGGAAAGCUGUUGGAGAGCAGGAAAAACAGUAGAGACCCCAGAUGCUGCUCUGAUCCCCCACACUCACCCCCAAGGGUUCCCAGAUGGUGAUCAUGCCCAUACCAACCUGCUGGGAGCAGGAGCAGUUUACUUUUUUCUAUCAGGCCUGUACUUGUGCAGGGCCCCAAAUUCAGACAGACCUGCAGAGAGAUCCGAGAAACAGUGUUUUGGCAUUUUUGGUAGUUGGAUUCCAUUUCCUUUCCUGAUUUGAAUCCUUAUGGGCCAAGUUUUCCCCUCUCAGGAAUUCUCUUUCCCUCUGUAACCCUUCCUCCUCAAACCAUUAAUUAAGAAGGCCAGUGCCACACCCCUUUCUCUGCACCAAAAGAUAGGCCCAAGGCAAGAGUGUCUUGUAAAGAGGGAGAAGAUGGGGGAAGAGGAGCCUCUGGUCCCAGACUCUGCUCUGGUUUCUGCCAUACACACACCAGGGGUUCCCAGACACCUCCCACCCCCAACACUGACCUCCACGGAUUCAGGGUUGUUUCCUCUUCCUUCAGUUCAGUGAAAGCUUCAUCCUAAGAACAGACUGAAGGGCAGAGAGCCUGGUGGAUGGAGGGAACUCGGACAGAAGUCCCUAUAACUGUCUUCUAGUAUUCACGCAGCAGAAUGACAAUCUUUCAAUUCCAUGAACUCUUCUUACCCCUCCCAACCCACACCAAUCUCCUGCCCCGGGGCAGACUCCUCAGGCACUCAAUCCCUCCUUCCUUUUGCCCUGCUCCGCCCGUCCGCCAUUUCUCUGGGACACACAGCCACACCCCUUCUCCUGCACCGGAGCGGGAGGGGGCGGGGCGCUAGUGCAGCAAAAACUGGAUGGGACGCCAAAUGAGGGAUGACUGCCAGUCUAGUGUCUUCCUCCCAAGACCACCUGUCCUUCGAUCCCCAGCCCCCAGACUUAACAUAAGCCUGCAGAACAAGGGCCCCCAAGAUCUGACCUUUCGGUUUCAGGGUCAUGAUUUUCCACUGUUUCUACGUUCUGGGCUCCGCCUCCCACCCCCCACCCAAAUCCCCCGAUAACCGCCAUGUCUCCCUCCAGCGUACGAGAACUCCCCUUCCAGGACUGAAUUAACAAGAGUGAAGAGCCAUGUGGGUUGGAGGUGUCUGGAAAGCAGCCUGACGCGAUGUGGGGUGCGGGGCCUGAGUGUUAAAACCAAAACCAACAAACACUGACUGGGAGAAGAAGUCAGCGGAUUCUCCGCAAGGAUGUAGAAGGGACUGCUGUUCCCACAUAUCCCUGCAGCUGUGGGUUUCCACGAAGAAGAAGUGAUUGCUGGCUGGAGGAAGCACUCAGGUUUUUUUCACUUACGUUUACCAGUACUGCAAAAACAAAACAAAACAAAACAAAAAACAAUACAAAGAAAUAAUGUCUGGAUGAAGUCAAGUCAUAUGUUCUGUGGUCCUGGUAGCCCACAAGGAGUGAGGAAUCUGCCAGGUAUUUUCAGGAAGACCAAUGUGAACUUAAGGGAUUCAAAAGAAACAAGGUGGAGGGAGCAGAGAAAAGGAUGGGACCAUUCCUCCAGAGAAGCAAUAGAAUUGGCCAGCAGCCCAGGAGAAGAUGCUGCCCCUUCCAGUCAUCAGAAAGACAACACACUUGUUGGGUGUGUAAAGACUAAAAAAAAGGGACAGUGGUCAGGCAGCACGGUGGUGGUGGUGGUGGAAGAGGCGAGUCGCAUUCCACUUUGCUAAUAAUAGGAGGGGACAUUUGGGACCUGAACUCACCAGUGACGUAGCCUCACGUGACCAGGAGCCUAUGUACUGAAGUCUUGGUCCAGACAGCGGUUCUGCUCAGGUAACCACUUCCCUGUUUCCUUGGAGGUGGCGUGAUUGUGGGCAAGGAUGGAGGAGGAGGACGAAGAGGAAACCAUUCCUGAUUCCUGUAUGUUGGUGUGAGGAAUUUGGGCUUGAUGGCAGAGGGACUGGUGAUUGGGGCUGGCACCUGAUACUACAUCUACCAACUGACCUGUGAUGGAUGGAGAGCAGAACAAGAAGCAACCAACUGAUUCAAAAGACAUUAAUCCUGCCUAGAAAAAGUUUAGAAAGUACAGAAAACUGGAAGGAAGAAAAUAAAAUAAGCCAUCAAUAAUUA